UACGAAGGGGGCUAGCGUUGCUCGGAAUUACUGGGCGUAAAGCGCACGUAGGCGGCUUUCUAAGUCGGGGGUGAAAUCCUGGAGCUCAACUCCAGAACUGCCUUCGAUACUGGAGAGCUCGAGUCCGGGAGAGGUGAGUGGAACUGCGAGUGUAGAGGUGAAAUUCGUAGAUAUUCGCAAGAACACCAGUGGCGAAGGCGGCUCACUGGCCCGGUACUGACGCUGAGGUGCGAAAGCGUGGGUAGCAAACAGG
rnacentral:rRNA from 1 species